rnacentral:rRNA from 1 species
UACGUAGGGCGCAAGCGUUAUCCGGAAUUAUUGGGCGUAAAGAGCUCGUAGGCGGUUUGUCGCGUCUGCCGUGAAAGUCCGGGGCUCAACUCCGGAUCUGCGGUGGGUACGGGCAGACUAGAGUGAUGUAGGGGAGACUGGAAUUCCUGGUGUAGCGGUGAAAUGCGCAGAUAUCAGGAGGAACACCGAUGGCGAAGGCGGCAUCCUGGACCAAUAUUGACGCUGAGGAGCGAAAGCCAGGGGAGCAAACGGG